UUUGGUGAUGUUGGAGGUCAGGGGUUCUACCCCUGCCUCCCUCAUACUUGUCACAAUAUGUGGCUGGUCUUAGUUGACCAUCUCCCCUUACCCCUUACCCCUUCCUCCCUCGUACUUGCCACAAUAUGUGGCUAAUCUUAAUUGACCGUCGCUCCCGUCGUCUACAUGUUCCGGGAAUUGGGGCUAAAUUACAGAGGCUAUUAAUUAUUUUCAGGUUCGCCUUCGGGAUUCAAAGUCUUUGCCGGCUUGCCCUUCAUGGAAUCAGAGGAAUGUGAGCAGGAGAGAUCUGGUUUGGAGAUUGCCCCUUUGGACUUCAUCUCGCGGUUGCCUGAUUCCGUGAUUCAUCACAUUUUAUCUUAUCUGCGUGCCAGAGAUGUUACCUCUACUGCAAUAUUGUCAAAGACUUGGAAUCGCACCUGGUCCACUUAUCCUUAUCUUGUAUUCCACUUUUUCUAUGAUAAUUCAGUCACAGAACAAGAGCAAGUUCUUGGUGACUUGCAUAUAAAAAAGCGAAAACAUGAUUUCUUGAUUCUUGCUGGAAAUUCCAUUUGUCGGCGCUUGCAACUA